rnacentral:lncRNA from 1 species
UCCCGCGCUCGCUCGAGCAGGGCGCAGCCGACCAGAGCCGCUCCCAGCGGCGGGGACGGGCUCGGGCGCGCGCUCUGAGACAGGCGGGCAGCCAGCGGGUACCAGCAGGGUGCGGAACUUGAAAGGCUCUAAGUUGGUAAAGACUCAUGGUAACCAGCCUUGGGCUCAGACCCUGGGCUACCCUUGGUGGAGCGUGAUGGAGCCUCAGAAUGACCACGAAACCAAGACUAGAGAUAACCAUUGUAAGAACAAAGGCCAGGCGUCCCAGCUCCUGCACCAUGGACGGCUGGAAACACGGCUGGAAACCACUUGACUUCCAGGCCUCUGCUCCCACUCUCCACUUUGGAAUUUGCUCCAGUGUUCAAAUUCAUUUGGAAAAGAGAAAGAAGGCUAGAGAAGUAAGAAAGCCAUAAAGUUCUAUGUCAGAUGCAUUCUGGAUUUGUGCUCGAUUGUAUGAGCAUCCUGUGUUUGAAAUUGCUAGGAUUAUAUUCAUAAUUUUAAGUUUGAAAAUUUAGAAGCAAUAAAGCGAUGCUGUGUGACAGA